rnacentral:rRNA from 1 species
AGCAAACGCUAGCGGCGUGCCUAAUACAUGCAAGUCGAACGAGGAAGUUCCUUCGGGAAUUGUACUAGUGGCGCACGGGUGAGUAACACGUGGAUAAUCUUCCUUUGAGUGGGGAAUAACUAGUCGAAAGAUUAGCUAAUACCGCAUGAGACCACAAUCUCCUUGGAGAUAGGGGUCAAAGACUUCGGUCGCUUAAAGAUGAGUCUGCGUCCGAUUAGCUAGUUGGUAGGGUAACGGCCUACCAAGGCGACGAUCGGUAACUGGUCUGAGAGGAUGACCAGUCACACUGGGACUGAGACACGGCCCAGACUCCUACGGGAGGCAGCAGUAGGGAAUAUUGCACAAUGGACGAAAGUCUGAUGCAGCGACGCCGCGUGAGUGAUGAAGGCCUUCGGGUUGUAAAGCUCUGUUCUCAGGGAAUAAGAAAGUGAAUGUACCUGAGGAGAAAGGACCGGCUAACUUCGUGCCAGCCGCCGC